CCUCAGGGGUUGCCUUAGGGUGUGUGUUUCAAUGCCUCUGCUCAAGGACUCUGUGUGUGUGUGUGUGUGUGUGUGUGUGUGUGUGUGUGUGUGUGUGUGUGUGUGUGAGUGACUCUGUGUGUGUGUGUGUGUGUGUGUGUGUGUGUGUCGGUGUGUGUCUGUGUGUGUGUCUCCCAUGAUCUCUUCUCUCUCUGUCUCUCAGUCUCUGUGUGUUUCUUUCCCUCUCUCUAUUGGUUUGUGUGUGUGUGCCCGUCUG
rnacentral:lncRNA from 1 species